CCUACGGGCGGCAGCAGUGAGGAAUAUUGGUCAAUGGACGCGAGUCUGAACCAGCCAAGUAGCGUGAAGGAUGACUGCCCUACGGGUUGUAAACUUCUUUUAUAUGGGAAUAAAAUGUUCCACGUGUGGCAUUUUGUAUGUACCAUAUGAGUAAGGAUCGGCUAACGCCGUGCCAGCAGCCGCGGUAAUACGGAGGAUCCGAGCGUUAUCCGGAUUUAUUGGGUUUAAAGGGAGCGUAGGUGGGUUGUUAAGUCAGUUGUGAAAGUUUGCGGCUCAACCGUAAAAUUGCAGUUGAAACUGGCAGUCUUGAGUACAGGAGAGGUGGGCGGAAUUCGUGGUGUAGCGGUGAAAUGCUUAGAUAUCACGAAGAACUCCGAUUGCGAAGGCAGUUGACUGGACUGCAACUGACACUGAGGCUCGAAAGUGUGGGUAUCAAACAGGAUUAGAUACCCGGGUAGUC
rnacentral:rRNA from 1 species